CAAAGUUUUACUGAGCACAUACUGGGCACAAGUUACCGAUCUAAGCAUAGAAGGUUGUGGGAGAGUGAACAGUUCCUUGUCUGUAAUGACCUUCUGUCUAGUGUGAGAAUUAAGAGGUAAAACUAAAUAACUGUAAUAAUUAUGCAACAGGACAUGUCUUUGAAAAGGGAUAAAGUCCUGUGGAAACACAUCGAUUGGGAAGGUGAAUUCUGGCUGAGGGCAAUCAGGAAAGGCUUCUCGGAAGAGAUGACACACUCGGGUAUUGAUGAUGCCAGCACUCUGAUAGACGGAGAUAGCGAGGUUAUCCUCGGCACGUGGCCCUCCUGCCUUUGGAGCCGUGGGUUUAAGCACGUACACCAGCCAGGCUUUGGAGCUUAUCUGCUCCUCCCCGCUCGCUGCGCCUCCCCUGGAUGCUCUUUACCUGCUGUCAUCCGCCUGAGGACAGAGGCAGCCUGUGGACUUCCUGGUUUCUCCUAGAAACAUGAGACCGCACCAGCUGCUGUAUGACCAUACAUCUUUAAAUGUAAAACAUGAAAACUAAAUUCUGAAAUAAGUCACAUUUGUGAAGAGACAAAAGAUAAGAGCGGCUUUUAUGAAAUGUUUUGAUGCAACCGCAUGAUGCAGCGCUGACAUCCUGACUGCAUGCUCACCCACCCACUCACUGGAUCGAUCGCGGUUGCUGCUCCACAAGGAGUAUUGAUGGACAGCUUAAAUACUUCUCAUUUUGAAAAGUGAAGCAUGAGUAAUUAAGCGAUGCAUCUCAAAGUUGGAUACCAGGUUUUUACUCAGUCCAGUAAUGAAUAAAAAGUGCAUUAACCAAAUUAAAACUCUUACAUGUCUAUAUAUUGGCUAUUGAUGUGUCUUUGUGAAUUUCAUUACAGUAUACUGGCGUCUUGUUUAUCAAAGAGCUUCCCAGAAAUUUCCCUUGAUUUAAAGCUUUUUGUUUACAUCUAAAUUGGUUAGGGGAAAUAAUCCUGUGACAGUUCAUCUUUCUCACUAAUUUGUGUAAGAUAAUCCUAAUCUUCGGUGACUCAGAAAUGUACAAACAUAAACAGGCCUUUUCUCUCAGUUGUGCUCAGUAUACAAAUAUUCUCUCAGAUUCUGUUCUGUAUCAGUGACUAUGGGAAUCUUUAAAAUGGUGUUCUGCUAAAGUGAAUGGGCAUCUACUAAUGUCUGUUCAUCUCAGCAGGGGAUCCAUAUGUAUGUAUGUGUAUGUGUAUUUCCUUCACAGAUAUACCUGAAAUAAAAUUUUGAGGUUAAA